CAGGCCCUGAAUGAACGCUGGCAGCUGGUUUCAAGCAGGAGCCCAAGGGAAUGCCUUCUCCUGGUCUGUUGGCCAUUCCAAAGCCUCCAAAGGGAACGGCCAGUUCGGUGGGAAGCAGCAUGG
rfam:Alligator mississippiensis ScZkoYb_3002.1, whole genome shotgun sequence.